GGGGGUAUAGCUCAGUGGUAGAGCACAUGCUUAGUGUGUAUGGCGUGCGUGAGGUCCUGGGUUCAAUCCCCAGUGCCUCCA
rfam:Camelus ferus unplaced genomic scaffold scaffold951, whole genome shotgun sequence.